rnacentral:rRNA from 1 species
CAAUAGCGUAUAUUAAAGUUGUUGCGGUUAAAAAGCUCGUAGUUGGAUUUCUGUUGAGGGCAGCCGGUCCGCACUCGGUGCGUGUAUCUGGUUUGACCUCGGCAUCCUCUCAAAAUACGUUUCUGCGCUUGAUUGCGUGGAGCGGAGUUUGAGACUUUUACUUUGAGGAAAUUAGAGUGUUCACGGCAGGCAAUCGCCUUGAAUAUAUUAGCAUGGAAUAAUAAUAUAGGAUCUUGGUUCUAUUUUGUUGGUUUCUAGAGCUAAGAUAAUGAUUAAUAGGGACAAUUGGGGGCAUUCGUAUUAACGCGUCAGAGGUGGAAUUCUUGGAUUGCGUUACGACGAACUACUGCGAAAGCAUUUGCCAAGGAUGUUUUCAUUGA